GACAGCAGUCGCCGCGGGAAUACGAAGGGUGCAAGCGUUACUCGGAAUUACUGGGCGUAAAGCGUGCGUAGGUGGAGGUUUAAGUCCGUUGUGAAAGCCCUGGGCUCAACCUGGGAAUUGCAGUGGAUACUGGGUCACUAGAGUGUGGUAGAGGAUAGUGGAAUUUCCGGUGUAGCAGUGAAAUGCGUAGAGAUCGGAAGGAACAUCUGUGGCGAAGGCGACUAUCUGGGCCAACACUGACACUGAGGCACGAAAGCGUGGGGAGCAAACAGGAUUAGAUACCCCCGUAGUCCCUGUCUCUUAUAC
rnacentral:rRNA from 1 species